rnacentral:rRNA from 1 species
GACAGAGGGUGCAAACGUUGUUCGGAUUUACUGGGCGUAAAGCGUGUGUAGGCGGCUUGGCAAGUUGGAUGUGAAAGCCCACGGCUCAACCGUGGAAGCGCAUCCAAAACUGCUUCGCUGGAGUCUCGGAGAGGAAGGUGGAAUGCUUGGUGUAGAGGUGAAAUUCGUAGAUAUCAAGCAGAACACCUGCGGCGAAGGCGGCCUUCUGGACGAUGACUGACGCUGAGACACGAAAGCGUGGGGAGCAAACAGG